rnacentral:rRNA from 1 species
GGAGGGGGCUGACGGUACCGGGGUAAUAGCGCCGGCCAACUCCGUGCCAGCAGCCGCGGUAAUACGGAGGGCGCGAGCGUUACCCGGAUUUACUGGGCGUAAAGGGCGUGUAGGCGGCCUGGGGCGUCCCAUGUGAAAGACCACGGCUCAACCGUGGGGGAGCGUGGGAUACGCUCAGGCUAGACAGNGGGAGAGGGUGGUGGAAUUCCCCGAGUAGCGGU